rnacentral:rRNA from 1 species
UGGGGAAUCUUGGACAAUGGGCGCAAGCCUGAUCCAGCCAUGCCGCGUGUGUGAAGAAGGCCUUCGGGUUGUAAAGCACUUUCAGCGAGGAGGAAGGGAGUUGUGUUAAUAGCACAGCUUCUUGACGUUACUCGCAGAAGAAGCACCGGCUAACUCUGUGCCAGCAGCCGCGGUAAUACAGAGGGUGCAAGCGUUAAUCGGAAUUACUGGGCGUAAAGCGCACGUAGGCGGUUUUUAAGUCAGAUGUGAAAGCCCCGGGCUCAACCUGGGAAUUGCAUUUGAAACUGGAAAACUAGAGUGUGUGAGAGGGGGGUAGAAUUCCAAGUGUAGCGGUGAAAUGCGUAGAGAUUUGGAGGAAUACCAGUGGCGAAGGCGGCCCCCUGGCACAACACUGACGCUCAGGUGCGAAAGCGUGGGGAGCAAACAGGAUUAGAUACCCACGUAGUCCCUGAGCGGGCUGGCAAGGCGCAU